rnacentral:rRNA from 1 species
CACGUAGGGUGCGAGCGUUGUCCGGAAUUAUUGGGCGUAAAGAGCUCGUAGGCGGUGUGUCGCGUCGGCCGUGAAAACCUGCAGCUUAACUGUGGGCUUGCGGUCGAUACGGGCAUCACUGGAGUUCGGCAGGGGAGACUGGAAUUCCUGGUGAUAGCGGUGAAAUGCGCAGAUAUCAGGAAGAACACCCGUGGCGGAAGGCGGCUCUCUGGGACGGUACUGGACGCUGAGACGCGAAAGCCGUGGGGAGCGAACAGG